CAAGAUGACUUUCACUACAACAUUCUUAGAAAGCUCAAAAUUUGUUAAAAUGGACUUUCACCUAAAAAGUGAUGGAAGUCUCCAUGUUACGUUACAGGAGCCAAAGGCCAAAGUUAAUCAAUCUUUUAUUAUUGAAGCAGAUCGGAGUUGAGAUAGGUAGUACCUAGAUGCAUUAUCCCUGUGUGAAAAUUUCAAGCAAUCUAAUAAAUAGCCUACUUAUUGCCAAAAUUGUUUUAUUGGUUUAAGUAAGCAAAGGACCUUUUUUUAUAAAGUACAAAUUUAGUCUCUCAUAAUAUGUGCUAGGUACACACACAGUUGUAUUAGUUGGUAUGAAAAUUGUUAGUUUUAUUGUCAUACAUUCUGUAUAUGAUAAUGGCUGAUGUCCUGUCUUUCCUGUGAAACAAAAAUCCAUGUUUAAACUACCAAAGAAUUUGUGAAUUGCUUAUCAGUGAUAUAAUAAUGCAGUAAUGUUAUUGCUAAAACAUUGUUGAGAAUAGAUGAGGAGACACAAAAACACCAUCUAGCUUCUAGAUAAUGGUUAAUUGUAAAAAAAAAGAAAUUCAUUGCACACAGGUGCCUUAAUAUGCUGUAAAAACAGUAUGUUAUUAUAUGUGUUGUAAAAGAUUACUUAUUGUGGCACAGACUUACAAGGAGAGGUUGAAACUGACCAAGUGAACUGUGCCUUCAAUGUAUCAUAAAAAGUUUCCUCCAAUCCUUCAGGAACAAGUGACACAGAUUGAUAUCUUUGAUUGAUAAUGGACCCCCAUUUGUAAUUGGUUAAGAUAUUUAGACUGGUUGAAGGCAAAGUUUGAUUCUUCUCUCAUGUAAAUGGACUUCAGCUCAGCCACCUCCUGUUUUGAAAGGGUUAAUGUUGUAAAAGCUACAAGAAUGUAUUCUCCAGGUUCUUGUAAACUGCAGUGAGAAACAUAUAUGUAGCAUUUUUCUCUUGCCUCAGGAAGAGACUCUCAGCACCCUCAAUAAUACACAAGAUUUAGAUGAA